AUAGCGUAUAUUAAAGUUGUUGCAGUUAAAAAGCUCGUAGUUGGAUUUCAAGGAAAUUUAAUAGGAAACUAUUAAACUCCUACCAGUCUUUGACUGUUACUGUGAGAAAAUUAGAGUGUUUCAAGCAGGCUGUUGCCCGAAUACAUUAGCAUGGAAUAACGAAUGUGUCUAGAAUCUUGGUUAAUUCUAGAAUACGAUUAAUAGGGACAGUUGGGGGCAUUAGUAUUUAAUUGUCAGAGGUGAAAUUCUUGGAUUUGUUAAAGACUAACGUAUG
rnacentral:rRNA from 1 species